AGCGAACGCUGGCGGCAGGCUUAACACAUGCAAGUCGAGCGGGCAUCUUCGGAUGUCAGCGGCAGACGGGUGAGUAACACGUGGGAACGUACCCUUCGGUUCGGAACAACUCUGGGAAACUGGAGCUAAUACCGGAUACGCCCUUAUGGGGAAAGGUUUACUGCCGAAGGAUCGGCCCGCGUCUGAUUAGCUAGUUGGUGGGGUAACGGCCUACCAAGGCGACGAUCAUUAGCUGGUCUGAGAGGAUGGUCAGCCACACUGGGACUGAGACACGGCCCAGACUCCUACGGGAGGCAGCAGCGGGGAAUAUUGGACAAUGGGCGCAAGCAUGAUCCAGCCAUGCCGCGUGAGUGAUGAAGGCCUUGGGGUUGUAAAGCUCUUUUGUCCGGGACGAUAAUGACGGUACCGGAAGAAUAAGCCCCGGCUAACUUCGUG
rnacentral:rRNA from 1 species